GACGAACGCUGGCGGCGUGCUUAACACAUGCAAGUCGAACGGAAAGGCCCUGCUUUUGUGGGGUGCUCGAGUGGCGAACGGGUGAGUAACACGUGAGUAACCUGCCCUUGUCUUUGGGAUAACUUCAGGAAACUGGGGCUAAUACCGGAUAGGAGCUCCUGCCGCAUGGUGGGGGUUGGAAAGUUUCGGCGGUUGGGGAUGGACUCGCGGCUUAUCAGCUUGUUGGUGGGGUAGUGGCUUACCAAGGCUUUGACGGGUAGCCGGCCUGAGAGGGUGACCGGCCACAUUGGUACUGCGAUACGGCCCAGACUCCUACGGGAGGCAGCAGUGGGGAAUAUUGCACAAUGGGCGGAAGCCUGAUGCAGCAACGCCGCGUGCGGGAUGACGGCCUUCGGGUUGUAAACCGCUUUCGCCUGUGACGAAGCGUGAGUGACGGUAAUGGGUAAAGAAGCACCGGCUAACUACGUG
rnacentral:rRNA from 1 species